rnacentral:rRNA from 1 species
UACGGAGGAUGCGAGCGUUAUCAGGAUUUAUUGGGUUUAAAGGGUGCGUAGGCGGAAUAUCAAGUCAGCGGUAAAAAUUCGGGGCUCAACCCCGGCCUGCCGUCGGAACUGGGUGCCUUGAGUGGGCGAGAAGUAUGCGGAAUGCGUGGUGUAGCGGUGAAAUGCAUAGAUAUCGCGCAGAACCCCGAUUGCGAAGGCAGCCUGCCGGCCCCACACUGACGCUGAGGCACGAAAGCGUGGGUAUCGAACAGG